GGCGGGCUGGACCUCUCGGGGUUACAGCCUUGCUGAAUUAUUCACCCUUGUCUUUUGCGUACUUCUUGUUUCCUUGGUGGGUUCGCCCACCACUAGGACAAACAUAAACCUUUUGUAAUUGCAAUCAGCGUCAGUAACAAAUUAAUAAUUACAACUUUCAACAACGGAUCUCUUGGUUCUGGCAUCGAUGAAGAACGCAGCGAAAUGCGAUAAGUAGUGUGAAUUGCAGAAUUCAGUGAAUCAUCGAAUCUUUGAACGCACAUUGCGCCCUUUGGUAUUCCAAAGGGCAUGCCUGUUCGAGCGUCAUUUGUACCCUCAAGCUUUGCUUGGUGUUGGGCGUCUUGUCUCUAGCUUUGCUGGAGACUCGCCUUAAAGUAAUUGGCAGCCGGCCUACUGGUUUCGGAGCGCAGCACAAGUCGCACUCUCUAUCAGCAAAGGUCUAGCAUCCAUUAAGCCUUUUUUUCAACUUUGACCUCGGAUCAGUAGG
rnacentral:rRNA from 1 species